GUGUAUUUGUUUAAGUUUAAUACAGGACAACAAUUACAGCCCAGAAGAAUUACAGCCCAGAAGGAUUACAAUCUAAAUGGACCGGCCCAGAAGAAGUUUUUUAAUUAAAUCGUGUAAUGGACCUAGAUGUAAUAAAACUAUAUUCGGGGUUGUAAUAGAAGUAGUAGUUUACAAUUUUAUUAUAAAUAAUAGUUGUAAACUCAAAUACAAUUAAUUCAAAUACUAUUUUUGAUAUUUUCGCAUUUUGAAAGAUCCGUUAAUUUCGUUAACGUUUUCUUUUCCCCAAAUUUCACUCCUGCCGGCGAUCGAUCCUCCCCUGUGAUUUUUUAUCACCGGAAUCGGAUCUCCGUCGUGUUAUAAAACAAGCAUAGAAAAAAUGUUCAGGCUCGGCUCGUUUAUUAAACAACUUAGGAAAAAAAUGCAUUGACUCGAAUUUGAAAUAAUGUAUUUUUAAGGUUUAUCUUUUUUUUUGUUAUUUUAAGGUUAUCUUUUUUUAGGGUUUAUAGAACGGGUCUACCGGACACCGUUUCCUUGACCGGAAUGGGUCUUUGGUUAAAGCUGAUCCUAUUCCAUUGUUAUCG
rnacentral:lncRNA from 1 species